GGUGGGGAAAUACAUAAAGCAAAUCUGCAUGUGAAUAUUUUAUAUAACUACAAUAUAGGGACUAUACAAAACUAAACGUCAUGAGGAAGACAAAAAGGAAAAGGAAAUGCAAGAGGCUUCCUAAGGUGUGUAUGUUGGUGUGUCGGGCAGAUGGUGGGGAUGGACCAGAGGGAGCUGCUUUGUGACCCACAGGUGGCUGUUCACAGGAUACGACCUGCUAAAAGGCAGACCAACACCUGGAGAAGACUUAGAGUUGAAAGAGAGAGGAAAUAAUGAGUGGUGAACACACUCUCUCACAUACAAGAAAUAUACAGCGAGUAAAAGCUAGAGGGCACAAAGGUUAAAACGGGAAGCCGCAUAUUUCUCGCUCACGGCAGUAUAUCUCUUACAUAAGGGUGGGCUAUAUGACCAAAAUCUUAUAUUGCAAUAUAAGUCAUUUUAUUUCUCAAUAACAAAAUAUAUCACAAUAUAGUUUUUUCCCUGGAAACAAGGUUGUUAUGAUGCCAGCAUUUUAGAUGACAUAAAAAUGUCACAAUUCAAUUAUUCUAACAGCACAAGAAAAGGCUAAUAUAAAUCUAUUAGUUAACGAAGCAAAACGUAAGCUUAUUAAGACAAGUAAACGGUCAGUAAUAAAAUAAAAACAAAAAAAUAAUUACAAACAAUAGGAAUACAAAUGAAUAGAAAUGAAAAAAAAAAAAAAGUUUAGAAGAAUGUUUAAGCUAUCGUUACAAUAGAAAGUGAAUGGUGACCAUGUCUGUCAAGUAAGAUUUUCAGUGAAUAACUUCAAUUGUACUCUGUUUGUCACACUAAUCUAUCAAAUUACUUCAGAAGACUUGAAAUAUAAUACAUUAGUUGUUAUGAUGCUUUUAGAUUAAUUUUUGUCCUUUUUGAAGCUUGACAGCCACUAUUGCCCAUUCUUUUAAUGAUGUUUUAUUAACAAAGUUCUGGAGGAACACAUUUGUCAGCAUGAGAGGAGGCCUAUAUAUACAGUACAUAGUCAACUCACCUAUGUUCCUCGACAGUUUUCUGCAUUUGGCCCCGUCCUAAGUGCCCUGUCUGAAAUUGAGCUCUUGCCAUCUGAUGAAGAACCUUUCGACCUUGGGGAGUCUCCACAAUCCGCCGGCCUAAAGGGUCCCCAUAUGCCAAGAUGCAGAGGCCUACCCUCGCCCCUGCCAGCGAGACAUUCGCCAUCUUCCUCCGUGUCUUUCUCUACUCCAGCCCAUUCAGUCAUCCCUGCCAUAAAGAAAUAGAAAGUUAAAAGUUAAAGGGUUAGUUC